GUGCUAAUAAGGUCGCCGCCGGCUGUGUGUGGUUUUCUGGCACCUGAGGUGUGGACAGUGCUGCUGAGGAACUGAACCUUAAUGAGCAAACACCAGGCCCUUAGAAAGACGUCUUCCCGAUCUUCCUGAUGGCUCUGCCCCUGCCCAGCCUCUCUGUUCUGCUGCCACCGGGAGUUCCUCACCACCUGAAACUAUGGAACGGACUCAGCACCCCGCUCUCCUGGAAGGAGAACCCACCACCUGCCCUGAGACUGAACCUUUGAUUGACCUUCAUGCAAAGCUUGACAGAUAGGCCUGUGUGUGGCCAGAAAGUAAAAUGGCCAUGAUGAAAAUGCUGAUGGCCAAGUACUACUGAGUGCUUACAACGUGCCAGGCCAACGUGCUAACGCCUUCCCUGCAGGGUCUCACUGAAUCCUCAU